UUGAAAUGCAUUUUUCUCUGUAUCACGCUUGCCAUGUGCACUUUUUAAAUUUGAUCAAUCAAUUGGUUAGUGUAAUGUUUACUAUCUUUACUCAGUCCAAACACUCCAGACAGUUACUCUGCCCAGUCCAACCUUUCCACAGUUACUCCAGCCACUCCAACCAGUUACUCUGCCCACUCCAGUUGUAGACUACUGGUGGAGGCAAGAACACCUCACACAUUUUCCCCAGAAAUUGU